CUUUGUGGCCAUGGGGAACACAAAUUAAGCCUGCGUUAGCUACUUUUUUCUCACCCUAUGAGAGACCCUCUGUUUAAAGGCGAUUCUCACAGUUGGUGUGAGUGGGUUCCAUUGGGUUCAAAUUCGGUGUCGCCGAUUCUAGCUGUGGCAUGGUGUUGCGAGUGGAAUCCCACGAGCUUCUUUCACUUGGUUGCUGGUUCUCUUCACUUUGUGGUUGUGCUCGGAGGGAUGAUUGGGUUUGAAUGAUGGUGAUCGACGAGGCGAUACUUGGUUGGGGCAUGGAGUUGUGUGGGUCGAGAUGCACUGCUGCGGCGGUGGUUGCAGUGGAAUUCUCAGUUUUUUUGGCUUUCUUUCUGCUUAGGGCCUCAACUUUUGGUUGAACUCAUUUUUGGUUUGUUAGGCUGGCCCACUCUUUCUUGCUUGUAUUUUUUGUCUUUGGGCCUUUGUGUUGUAAGUUUGUGUUUUGGUAAAUAACUUUACUAGUUCUCUCAAAAAAAAAAAAAAAAGAAAAAAAAAAAGAACUUUACUUUUGUAUCCAAAAAAAAAAAAAUUGGCAAUCCACGGACACCCAACAUACAGUGUGAGUGUUUACACGGAA